CCGUGCUAGAUGGGGAGUUAGCGGUGCCCUGUAACCUGCAAUCCGCUAUAGCAGGAUUGAAUUCCUCGCUUAGGCUAUAACUUGUGAGGUCUGACCUAUGCAAGUGACGUUGAGAGCUGGGUCCCACGCAACGGAAACUCAUGAACCCCGUGAGGUCUGGAAGGAAGCAGCGGUAAGUGAUAAUUUCCGUGUGCCGUGGAUUAACCUGGCUUGAGUUAACUGUAUAGGUAACGCUCAUAGGUUAUUUGCCAAGGCGAGGUGCACGG
rfam:Clostridium sp. HMP27 Clostridium-HMP27_contig_32, whole genome shotgun sequence.